UACGUAGGUGGCAAGCGUUGUCCGGAUUUACUGGGCGUAAAGGGCGUGCAGGCGGUUUGUUAAGUGCAGGGUGAAAGCUCCCGGCUCAACUGGGAGAGGUCCUUGCAUACUGGCGAACUCGAGGGAGGCAGAGGAAAGUGGAAUUCCCGGUGUAGUGGUGAUAUGCGUAGAUAUCGGGAGGAACACCUGUGGCGAAAGCGGCUCACUGGACCACAACUGACGCUGAUGCGCGAAAGCUAGGGGAGCAAACAGG
rnacentral:rRNA from 1 species